rnacentral:rRNA from 1 species
ACUCAAAUGAAUAGACGGGGGCCCGCACAAGCGGUGGAGCAUGUGGUUUAAUUCGACGCAACGCGAAGAACCUUACCUGGGCUCGAACGGCUUCGGACCGCCGAUAGAAAUAUUGGCUUUCCCGCAAGGGACUGGAGUCGAGGUGCUGCAUGGCUGUCGUCAGCUCGUGUCGUGAGAUGUUGGGUUAAGUCCCGCAACGAGCGCAACCCUUGUCCUGUGUUGCAACUAAUAGGCACUCUCAGGAGACCGCCAGCGAUAAGCUGGAGGAAGGUGGGGAUGACGUCAAGUCAUCAUGGCCUUUAUGUCCAGGGCUACACACGUGCUACAAUGGACGGUACAAACCGCUGCCAACUCGCGAGAGGGAGCUAAUCGGAAAAAACCGUUCUCAGUUCGGAUUGCAGGCUGCAACCCGCCUGCAUGAAGCUGGAAUCGCUAGUAAUGGUAUAUCAGAACGAUACCGUGAAUACGUUCCCGGGCCUUGUACACACCGCCCGU